AAAAAAAAGGGUGGCAGUGACCAGCUUGUUCACGUGAGUGAGUUGAGUGGUAGAGGGUCAAGCUGCCAGGCUAUCCUGUUUCUCUUCUCCCUUCUCCACAGGAUGCUUUGAGGUGCGCAUGCGCGGUGCCCUGCUCGUGCUACUCACUUGCCGCUGAAUCUACGGGGAGUAGCAGAGGUGUGUUCGCCGCCAUUGAAGACGGCGGAAGGGAGAGAAGCAGGGAUUCCGCCGAGGGUCGGAAUCUAGGGAUCCCUGUUGACGACGCGAUGUUGGUGAUAGUGGUCGGGAGCGCAAGCGAGGAGAUGGAGGCCGGCAGCUGCCUGGGAGGCCAGGACUUCUUUUGCAGCCGUGGGUGAAAGCGGAGUUCAAGGGGUUGGAUCGAAAGCCUGGCAUUUCAGUGAACACCAUGUGCUUUGUCUAACAGGAUGAGAUAUCGCUACAAAAUCUACAAAGAAGAAAAAAUGUUAG